CAGCUUUCAUUUCCAUCUCAUUAGCUGAGAGUACAAUCCCACUGAAAACUCAACUGUGGCUUGAGGCCUAAUGGGCACCUGUUAAUUUUCCUCUGUUCCAUAGUCCCAUCUCUCAGAUCAACAACCUGAUCAUAAAGGACACAGUGCGUAAGGUACCUCCUUGGAAGCAGAGACCAGGCCGUUUCCAGCCACCAAACCUGCUGGCACCUUGAUCUUGGAUUUCCCAGCCUCCAGAACUUAUGAAAGUUUUCAAGACGCCUACAAGUGGAAAAUGCACUCCUCCCAGCCAAAUCAAGCUUCGCCAGAUUCCUUACAGCUGUGUGCAGUGAAAUGACUAAUGAAAGAGCCCUCUGCUGCUGGUGGAACUUUCACAUAUGGCACUGUUAUGCCACUCAGCAGGACCCGACCCUGGUAUUUACAUAUUGGAUGUCACCCCAAAAGCCCCUGACCAGGGGGUUUCCGGGAUGUAAUAAGAAUGCCACUCUGGGCUUUGGAAGGUGCACCGUAUGCACACCCAUACUAUAGGGCAGGGGUUAGCAUUUCAGACCCCUGUUCCUCCCUUGACAAGCAAGUGCUUUUCUCCAGGGAAGACGUUCAGGUUCAUUCAUAGAUCCAUUGGUGCCGUGGGCAGCUCAGUAACAAUAGCUCUGCUGCCUACCAGCUGCUGGUGGAGGUGUUGAGAAUACCUAAUGAGGAAGUCAGGGCCCCUGCGUGCUUCAGCAGAGCUGGAUGCCUGGCAUGGCAAUCAAUGGACACAAACCUUUGGAUAAUUUCCGUCCUUGGCGGUGUGUUCUAUAGCAUAGGUAUGAAGUGGGUGCUCUGGGAGCUCAGAAGAGGGGCUCUUCUCUUAACUUAUGGGUGGCCAGGGAAGGCUUCCUGGAGCUCAAAUGACUGAGUGGAGUCUUCAACAUUAAAAAAAAAAAAAAGAAAAAAAAAGUGCUUCCCUCCCACCCCCAGUUAAAAAGGUAAUACACCUCAUUGAAAUAAUUUAAACUUUACAGAAAUGUGUUCCUUUAAAGUUCAGAGAGUAAAGAGGAAGUAAUAAAGCUGAAAUAGUAGAAUUUCU
rnacentral:lncRNA from 10 species